CCAACAUAACCCCUAGUUGACCGCAAUGAUAUUCGUCUUUAUUUAUAUAGGGGUGUGAUUUUCGCGAUAUCAUUUGGUUGGAAAGGUGUGCAUGCUUCCUCUUCAGGAUUGGAGGAUUGAUGUCAGAUAUGUAAUCCACCUUUAUGGAACUGAGUCUGGUCUGUCAUCGUGUAAACGAAGGAGUUUGGCCAACCCUCAUAUUCUGGGCCCGGAACACGGAGUUUGAACACUGGAAAUGAUAUCGAUCGUGCUCCAUCGCAAGGCAAUUAAUUGCUAUUGUGGACUCUGUAGUUUUUAUUGGAAAGACCCAUUGACGUGGAGAGAAAUGCGGGGACCACAGAGACAUUGUUUUGGGACGAAGCCUCGGGAUGCAUAAUAGGUUGAUGACAUAGGCCUUGCGGAACUAUCUAAUACCCAAUACGAAACAUACAUUAUAGGCGCUCUUUGCAGAGAUGACCAUGUGUUUUAUCGAGUCUUAAAAAAAAUAAAGAAAAAGAAAAUCUUGGAAGAGACUGGAACUGUAUAUAAGAGGAUCCACCCAGCACCAGCAGAAAGGGAGAAAAAGCGUAAAAAAAACCUUUUGUAUACUGCUUGAUCCGUAUGUAAAGUUGCUGUACGUGGAUACAUUAAUUAAAUCCAUAUUUCUUUUCUUUAUAGUUAUAUAUAUGCAGAUAAAAGGAA
rnacentral:sRNA from 2 species